rnacentral:rRNA from 1 species
ACGGGGCGCAGCAGGCGCGAAAACUGCACAAUGUGGGAAACCACGAUGCGGGAAACCCAAGUGCCAGCACUAAGUGUUGGCUAUCCUCAAGCGUUCGUUGCUUGGGAAGAAAGUGCUGGGUAAGACGGGUGCCAGCCGCCGCGGUAAUACCCGCAGCACAAGUGGUGGUCAUUAUUAUUGGGCCUAAAGCGUCCGUAGCUGGCCUGCUAGAUGCCUGGGUAAAUCGAUGCGCUUAACGUAUCGAAUUCCGGGUAGACCGGCAGGCUCGAGACCGGGAGAGGUGUGGGCUACUCGAGGGGUAGGGGUAAAAUCCUGUAAUCCUUCGGGGAGGACCAGUGGCGAAGGCGCCACACUUAAACGGCUCUGACAGUGAGGGACGAAGCCCUGGGGCGCAAACCGGAUUAGAUACCCGGGUAGUCCAGGGUGUAAACGCUGCAGACUUGGUGUCGGAGAUCCUACGAGGGUCGCCGGUGCCGGAGAGAAGUCGUUGAGUCUGCCGCCUGGGGAGUACGGUCGCAAGACUGAAACUCAAAGGAAUUGACGGA